GUUCACGGCACUUUACGACAGCGCGCCGGCUUCCGCGCCGGUGAGCGGGGCGGGAGGUCGGGUCGGCAGGUCAGGGCCCGGCUGGAGCUGAGGUGACCCGCCCGCGGCCGGGACGUGGAGGAGAGAACCUAGGAGGAGCUGUUUGUGAGCUUAUUUAGGCAGACGGACGUCACCGCGCCCGUGCAGCAGAGGUGAUGGGCCCGUCCCGAGGCCUUACUGGGAGGAUGCGCAGAAGGGGCUCCGCACGGCGCCGCAGUUGGUGAUGUUGGCGGACGGAGAGAUGGAGUUCGGCAUUUUACAGCUACCUGGUGUCCACCGGGCUGCGCUGUGACAGCGAGCCUCCUUUAUCGCACCGCGAUGCUCCACACCAAUAAGAAGGAAAGUUGGGGUACAUUCAUACAAUACGAUACAGAUGGACAACAAUGAAAAAGAACAAAGUUCGUGACAAGAAAGGACAUGGAGCAGACGAUACCGUGGAAUGGGCCGUAGCUUGUGUAUAGCAAAGUCCACAACAUCGUAACACAUGGAACCUCUUUCUGGAUGCUUGACGGGCCCCAGAUAACCACAGUUGAUGUGUGUCAUGGUUUUGGGGGGACUGUUGGUAGGGUGUUGUCCAGGGAUCCUAACUCGGUGCAGAUGGACAGCCUUGCGGAUGGACUUCAGCCUACAGACGUGCUGACAGGACCCUUCAGGCUGCCCAGACACAUUUCUGAGUGUGGACUGAUCCUAACUACAUCUACUGGUUUCUGAGACACAGAGCUGGCUGCUAUUUUGUCAGCUGUACUGGUGUUGGGGAGAGACAAAGAAUGAGUAUUCUACUUAGGGCAUUCCUUCUCUUAGCUGCCGUUUGAAGAUACUUGAUGAGCAUUACAUCCAAAUAGGUAAGUGAGUAUAAUUACUAGACUCUGGGAAGACACGGAAAUGUCGAUCUUCCACCCAGCACACUCACUAAUGGAACCCUUCUGAGCCGCAUAGACAAGUUCCCUUUCUGAACCCUGCUUCCUGGGCUGAUGUUUUCAUAUGGUCUCUCUGUGCAUUAAAGGCACUGGCUGGGCUGUAGUCUGGCUGCCAUUCCUUACCACCGGGAAAAGUUCCCUGUGAUGUGUGGAUACAUUUGGCCAGCUCUCAGUCCUUCUAGGCUCACCCCUCUACUGCAGUCUAUAUUUUCAGUUUUGAUAUUUAUACCGAAGGUCUCAUCCCUUUUGCAAAGCAAGAGCCCAAAAGAGCUAGGUCCUCCCCUGUGGGAACUGCCAGGGUGACUGAGUGCAGUGAACCGAUUGUGCACUGCACGGCCGCAGGAAGUGCCACUCACAUGGAUGCCAGACGACCUGCUCUGGUGGACGUGGUGGCCCAGUGACCCUUGUUCACCUGCUGUGCCCCUGCUUGAAUCUCAUGUUACCUGAUAUUCUUGGUUUGCUUUUGUCCCUGGGAAUAGUCUACCUUGGACACAUGACUAGCUAGGAGUUAAACUUCAGUGUUGUCUCUAGUCUCCCCCUACUGAUGUGGUUUUUUUCAGGGAAUACAGGGUUCCUCAUCUUGUGUGAUGAGCAUGACUCCUUACCUUUCUCUGGAUUGCAGUGCAUCUCUUCUCCCUCUUUUACAGAGAACGUGUCUCAUCUAUAGCCUCUUCCAUAGUUCUGCCUACUCCUCCCUGCUGGCUUUCCCCUUCUGCAUAUUAGAGUGUACCCGACUUAAUGGUCAGCACCCCCUUCCUCUGAGUUUUGCACAUCUAGCUGUUUCCAGUACAACUCAAUGAGAGCCUAGGAGGGCUUAUCCACUCCCGUGGCUCCACGGUCACUGUUAAAGUUAUGGCUUUCCUAACUUCCUGUUCUCUGAAUGGAUGUUGCCUGGGGCUCUGGCCAGGUGAAGGGCUUUCUGCUGUUAGGGGGCCUGCACCUCCUUUUUUCUCUGGUUUGGACUUGCUGUGGAGAACAACCAGUAUACGAACCAUGCAGCCCCUCUCUGUACCUGGCCAGAGUCAAGUCAACUGCACUUGGCAACAACCUACCCGUGGCCCCUGAAGAAGUGUUCCUAGGAGAUCAGUGUCCGGGAACCUCGGUGCCUGACGGCUUUUAUGAAUCCCGAUACCAUCCCACUGGUUGUACCAUUAGGAUUGAGGUCCUCCCAGGGGAUCGUCUCCUUUUUUUAUCUGAUUUUUAAGUCAGUGUUCUCCACUCUUGAAGCUUCAGUACCUGUGGCCUGAGCUGUGCCCCGCCACCCAGCUCCUGUAAGAGGAAGCACGGGAAAUGUUCAAAUAAACAAGGUGGUCCCCCCCAAAAGAUCAGGAAUAGCAAAUCUAUACAGUGGAGAGACAAGCAGAAAUUCAAGACGAUGCUCAAUUUUGCUACUUUAAAACGUCACCUGGCUGAUCUUGCUCCCCCUGAGAGUUCAGAAGCUGAGAGAGCCCUCACAGCUGUGACAUAGGAGGACUGCUGUAGGGGCCGGAAUCGGCCUCAGGACCCUGUUCCUUAUCUUACAUUUCUAAACAUUUUAGAUUUCAUUUUUAAUGGAGUGGAUCUUUGUGGUUUUACUAUCCUUUAUCUAGAAGGGUCUGCCUCUGUUUUUAACCUCAUACGUACUUUCUAAUAAAAUUUUCUUGAAUUCAUGGCAUUCCUGUCUGUAUUUUCACUUUCAAUUUUUUUUCCUGAGCUGCCAACCCAGCUAUUGAACCGCAGGCCUGCUGCUCUUAGUGUUCCACUAAGAACUGAACCUCUUCCCACCAGACAUGCUUUCUUCCCCAGUCGCCUGCAGUGAGGAGCGCACAGCCACACCGAGCCCUCAGCCUCACUGGUGCUGACCCCUCAGCUUGAAAUCCUUCAGUGCUUCCCAGCACCUGGAACAUAGAAUCCAGACUUCUUGUCAUCGUGUGUAUAAGGCCUUUGGUGUUCUGGCCGGUGUUUCUCUAACUGCAACUCUGACCUCUGCUGCGUGCCACUCACCUGCAGUCAGGACCGAGGCGCCCCGCCUCCCCCCAACCUCCACACCACCUCUCCCAAGCGUGCCCCUUCCUCCUGGGUACUCCCUGCUCAGCUCUCACACUUCAGUCCAAUGUCACUUCUUCCAGGCCCUGCUUCUCUUCCUCAUCCACUCACCUGGCAGUGACAUUCUUCCUGUUUCCUGUUCCUUCCAUGGCACCAAGCAUUUCUACUGUCCACGUUGGUCCGAGUCUUCCCUAGACUGGAAGCUCCCUGACGGCAAGAACUGUCUUAUCUUUGUGUCCGGUCGACUAGAAUGUACCUGUGCAACAGACUUAAUAAA